rnacentral:rRNA from 1 species
AGAGUUUGAUCAUGGCUCAGGACGAACGCUGGCGGCGUGCUUAACACAUGCAAGUCGAGCGGUAAGGCUCCUUCGGGAGUACACGAGCGGCGAACGGGUGAGUAACACGUGAGCAAUCUGCCCUUCACUUCGGGAUAACUCCGGGAAACCGGUGCUAAUACCGAAUACGACCACUUCAGGCAUCUGAUGGUGGUGGAAAGUUCCGGCGGUGAAGGAUGAGCUCGCGGCCUAUCAGCUUGUUGGUGGGGUAACGGCCCACCAAGGCAACGACGGGUAGCCGGCCUGAGAGGGUGACCGGCCACACUGGGACUGAGACACGGCCCAGACUCCUACGGGAGGCAGCAGUGGGGAAUAUUGGACAAUGGGCGAAAGCCUGAUCCAGCAACGCCGCGUGAGGGAUGACUGCCUUCGGGUUGUAAACCUCUUUCAGCAGGGACGAAGCGCAAGUGACGGUACCUGCAGAAGAAGCACCGGCCAACUACGUGCCAGCCGCCGCGGUAAUUC